rnacentral:lncRNA from 1 species
UCCCCUGGAAGGGUUGAGUACUGCUGUUCCUGCUGCUGUUCUCGGACCUCCCACUGAUAUUUCUAAAGCCUGAAAACUACAAAUUCCACUUGGAAACAUUUAAUUUCCCACCUUUCCUGCUCUACCUCUCUUCCCUAGGCAUCCUCUCUCUUACUGUGAAAUGCUACUACCCUGUUACCUCACUGAUAAGUCUUAACUGUGUUCAUUCAGAUGGCUUUAAACUUAGUCGUGAAUUGUUUAUAGACUGUUGUUUUCAUUGUUGUUGUCUGAAUAUCUGAGAUGUACUGUAUGAAGUAACCUCACUAUCUUUCAAAGCCCAUUUCUGGUUGCUGGACACUCCUAGAUGGCGUCACUGUGGGCUUUACAAUGAAUUUGUUUUCUGAAUUUGUUCUAGAAACUGAUGAGGAAACAACUAUACCAACCAAAGUAGUAGGUUGACCAAGGAUUUUAUUGGGGGUCCUCUGUGCUUUGGGCAGUAAGAGUACAAAAAUUUGAGGGAAUUUUUUUUUUACAUUGCCCCUCAACGCAUUUUACCAUAAGCCGAAAGAAGUCGAAGAGAGCUGGUUGUGGUAACUCAUAUGUAUAAUCUCAGCCCUGGAGAAACUGAGGCAGGAGAAUUGCUGGGAGUUCACAGUCAGCUUAGGCUACAUGGAGAGAUCUAGACAGAAAAACCUUAAAAUAGAAGAGAACAGUGCAUUGUCUGCCUCUUCACAAAGCAUUGGUUUAGUGCCAGUCAAACACAAGUCAGUGUUACUAAUAUUUUUAACUAGAGAGAGAGAGAGAGAGGGAGAGAGAGAGAGAGAGAGAGAGAGAGAGAGAGAGAGAGAGAGGGAGAGAGAGAUAACCUAUGCAUUUAAUUAAGAGGCCAAGACAAGGACGAAGUGACCAGAGUCUGCUUUCUAAAUUUUCCAUCCACAGAACCCUAAAGUAGAAAAGUGUGAAAAGGAUGGAAAUGGGGCCCAGAGCAAAGCCCAAAGAAGCCACACACUGGCGUGAGGCCAUGAGAGCCUCUCAGUCACAGUGGAUUCUCAAUAGAGUAAACUCUAAGAGAAACAUGGAGCCAGGACGGAGCUCAGUGGUAGAGUGCUUGCCUGACAUGCCAAAGGUCCUAGGUCCAACAUCCCCAGCACCAUUGAAAACAUUUAAAAAGGGGAAAAUACCAGAAAAGAACACAAGCCUGUCAUGUAAUUCCUCAACUCCCAGCCCCAGACCCCCACCUGCAGUGGCUGCUUUUUCCUGAAGGAAUACACAAUGACCUUAUAAGAAAUGUGCAUUCUAGGCUAUUCUCUGCCUUUCUGACCUGUACUUCCAAACUGUUAAUGCCAGACCAAUUGGCCUGCAAUAUGUUACCCUUGAACCUUAUAACAUUGUCUGAUCUAUAAGCCAAUUUGUUUUCUUUAAUUCACUGACAGACACUCUUCAACCCACCUGUCAGCUGCCUGACAUGGUUCAUUGUUUUUAAUAUCUGUUUUUCUUAAUUCAGUAUCUCCUGUCAUGCAGUAUUUAACUGGUGAUAAUAGUAGUAAAGGAACAAGCUUAAAAGAUAAUAAAACAGUAGUUUUCCAAUUCAGUUUCUAAAACAGUAUUACUGAGAUAUCCAGUAAGCAACAUUUACUAAGCAUGCAUACCGUUAAAUACUUGUUGUCUUAGGGAUUCUGUUGCUGUGAUAAACACCAUGACCAAAAAAAGCAACUGGGGAAAGGAGGGGUUUAUUUCCUCCUUGAGCUUAUACUCCAUCCCUGGGGGAAGCUAGGGCAGGAACUCAGGGCACGAACCUGGAGGCUGGAACUGAAGCAGAGGCCAUGGAGGGGUGCUGCUUCAUGGCUUGCCUGCUUUUUGAGAACACCUAGGUCCACAAUCCCGGGGCGAGGGGGGGGGGGGGGGCACCACACACAGUGAAACGGCCCCUCCCACCUCUAUUAUCAAGAAAAUGCCCCAUAAGCCAAUCGGAUCUGGGCAUUUUCCCAACUGAGGUUUCCUCAUCUAAAAGAACUAGCUUUUGUGUCAAGUUGACAUAAACCUAUGCAGCACACUGUUUCUUUGAAGAGUACAAAGCAUCUUUCAACAUGAAAGUAUAUAUAAUUUUGCUCGCAAAACAAGGUUUUGGCCAGGAAGGCUACGAAUGUAUCUUAUAUGGGUUUAAUGUCACUGGUCUGGAUGCCAUUUUGAACCUAAUAGCUCCACCUUUCAAGUGAGUCACAUCUGAUUUAAUAAUGCUUAAUGCAUUUUGUCCAAUAUUAGGAUUCAUCAUGUGUGUUAUUGGAGUCACUCAGGCACAAAAAAAUGGGGGGAGGGGUGUCUGUACCUGUGUAUGAUGAGACCAUGUUAUAGACCACUAUAAGCUCUUGGUGUACAUUAUUGAAUAUGACAGGUAAAACACAGAAUUAAGAAUGUAAUACUUUUCUAGUAGUAGCUCAGAAUUGUGCCCUUGUUUUCAACAGUUUCUGUCAAUAUCUCAUCUUUCCCUGUAAAAGAACAGGGUCUAUUGUUAGCCUGUGAGAAUUUGCACUUUAUGUAUUUGUGUGUGGAUUUCUGUGGUUUUAACCAAAUGAAAUGUUCUCAGUAAUAAACAGGUCUCUCCAUA